AUACUCAGAAUCUAAAAAAGUAUUAAUGUACUAUUACAUAUUAUCUACACAUUUUAUUGGUUUUUUUUAAAUUACAUUUUAUAUUACGUAAAAAUAUAUUUAUCGAUGUUUGUUUUUUUGCUUCAAAUAACUUGAUGACCAUACCUUCAUAAAAGUAAUGCUACACAGCUUUUUUUCUCUACACUUCUACAUCUGCACUGCUCUCAUGAGGACACACACCAAAGUUUCCUUAAUUUCUUUAUUUGAUGUAAAUCUCACGUUGUUCUCAUAUUCUACGUCAUCAGUGUCAACUUGUUGAUGUGUUUGAGAAUUCAAUAAGUACUACAUUUCAGGUCUUCUCUUUUUUUUCAAAUAACCGACGCGUGACGUGUUGUUUUAAUAAUCCGAUUGAAUUUCCCGUCUCAAGAUUUUUUGUUUCAAUAACAUGAUUGUAUUGAUUUUCCGUUGUCCUAAUAAGUGAUUUCCACAGUAUGUUUUUUUUUUUUUUUUAAAGGGCAAACUUUUACAGUUCAUAAAAAAGCUCUGAUUUUUUCAUGGCGUAUCUAAAAAAUGGGAGAAUUUCUAGCCCGUAGUUUUUGUGUAAAACAAUUUACCGAAAUUUUAAAUAGUGCAUCGCCCUAGGUAUUUUUGGGGGUUUUGUUUUCUUGAUUUCCACAGUUUACCUCGACCACAAGGGUAAAAACCCGGCAAGUACUAAUCCGGUUACACAAUCAUUUUUUGUUUGCAAUGAUUAACAUUGUACCUACUCCCAAUUCUCGUCACUAAAUAUGCCAGCUUUUUUCUUCUCGAAUAUAAUAAAUUAUUUACCUUCUGGAAAAUUGUGUUACCUAUACUAAAAUAGGUAUAUAAGAAUUUAUUUAUAAAUUAAACUUGUAAUUAUAUCGAUUUUA